rnacentral:rRNA from 1 species
GGAGCUUGCUCCCUGAUUUAGCGGCGGACGGGUGAGUAAUGCCUAGGAAUCUGCCUGGUAGUGGGGGAUAACGUUCCGAAAGGAACGCUAAUACCGCAUACGUCCUACGGGAGAAAGCAGGGGACCUUCGGGCCUUGCGCUAUCAGAUGAGCCUAGGUCGGAUUAGCUAGUUGGUAGGUAAUGGCUCACCAAGGCGACGAUCCGUAACUGGUCUGAGAGGAUGAUCAGUCACACUGGAACUGAGACACGGUCCAGACUCCUACGGGAGGCAGCAGUGGGGAAUAUUGGACAAUGGGCGAAAGCCUGAUCCAGCCAUGCCGCGUGUGUGAAGAAGGUCUUCGGAUUGUAAAGCACUUUAAGUUGGGAGGAAGGGCGUUUGGCUAAUAUCCAAGCAGUUUUGACGUUACCGACAGAAUAAGCACCGGCUAACUUCGUGCCAGCAGCCGCGGUAAUACGAAGGGUGCAAGCGUUAAUCGGAAUUACUGGGCGUAAAGCGCGCGUAGGUGGUUCGUUAAGUUGGAUGUGAAAGCCCCGGGCUCAACCUGGGAACUGCAUCCAAAACUGGCGAGCUAUGAAAGCCCCGGGCUCAACCUGGGAAACUGCAUCCAAAACUGGCGAGCUAGAGUACGGUAGAGGGUAGUGGAAUUCCUGUGUAGCGGUGAAAUGCGUAGAUAUAGGAAGGAACACCAGUGGCGAAGGCGACUACCUGGACUGAUACUGACACUGAGGUGCGAAAGCGUGGGGAGCAAACAGGAUUAGAUACCCUGGUAGUUCACGCCGUAAACGAUGUCAACUAGCCGUUGGGUUCCUUGAGAACUUAGUGGCGCAGCUAACGCAUUAAGUUGACCGCCUGGGGAGUACGGCCGCAAGGUUAAAACUCAAAUGAAUUGACGGGGGCCCGCACAAGCGGUGGAGCAUGUGGUUUAAUUUGAAGCAACGCGAAGAACCUUACCUGGCCUUGACAUGCUGAGAACUUUCCAGAGAUGGAUUGGUGCCUUUGGGAAAUCAGACACAGGUGCUGCAUGGCUGUUGUCAGCUCGUGUCGUGAGAUGUUGGGUUAAGUCCCGUAACGAGCGCAACCCUUGUCCUUAGUUACCAGCACGUUAUGGUGGGCACUCUAAGGAGACUGCCGGUGACAAACCGGAGGAAGGUGGGGAUGACGUCAAGUCAUCAUGGCCCUUACGGCCAGGGCUACACACGUGCUACAAUGGUCGGUACAAAGGGUUGCCAAGCCGCGAGGUGGAGCUAAUCCCAUAAAACCGAUCGUAGUCCGGAUCGCAGUCUGCAACUCGACUGCGUGAAGUCGGAAUCGCUAGUAAUCGUGAAUCAGAAUGUCACGGUGAAUACGUUCCCGGGCCUUGUACACACCGCCCGUCACACCAUGGGAGUGGGUUGCUCCAG